rnacentral:rRNA from 1 species
CGCGGUUAUACCAAGUGAUUAAGUUAUAUUUAUAGGUAAAAAGACAGUUAGGUUUAUAAGAUAAUUUUAGUUUAUUAAACAUCUAUAAAAAAGUAAAAUUUGUAUAUAGAUAGCUAAUCUAAAAAUAACUAUAAUACUGAAGCUAUGAUAAUCUUGAGGGAAACUGGGAUUAGAUACCCCAUUAUUCUUGAUUGUAAAUAUAAUUAAAUUUACCAGAGUACUAUGAAUAAUUAAAAAUUUAAAACUCAAAGGGCUUGGCGGUGUUUUAGACCUAUCAGGGGAACCUGUCUCGUAAUCGACAAUCCACGUAAUAUCUAACCUUAUUUUGUAAUCAGUUUGUAUACCGUCGUCGUCAGGUAACUUUUAAAAACAUAGAAGUUAGCAACUAAAAUUACUUUAAAUUAAAACGUCAGAUCAAGGUGCAGCCUAUAGUAAGGAGAGGAUGGGUUACAAUUAUAAAAAUUAUAAUUACGGAAAUUUAAAUGGAACUUAUUUUGAAGGAGGACUUGAAAGUAAACUAAAAUACAUAAAUAGUUUGAAUAAGGCUCUG